rnacentral:lncRNA from 1 species
UCACCUCUAUUCAUCUUGUAAAAGGACUCCAUCAUUGGCAAAUUUUUUGUUUCUCAUCAUCUUCGAUUCGGUAGCUUUCAUACAAUAAAGUAAUACACAGAAAGCCUGCAUAAGUAUAAGGUUAGUUAACCUUUUCUUUUCUUUUUUCAUUUUUUAUAUUUAAGUUUAAAAUUUUCUAUCUUUAUAGUUGGGACUAUUUUAUUUAGGAAUUUUGUGGUUGGAUAACGUGAGCAAGGUGAGUGUUUUUUAUUGUUUUCUAGUGCAUUUUGUUGCAACUUCAGUUUCUAUUUGGUUGGUUAAGAAGGGGGAAAAAUAGAAAAUUUAAGUGAAAAAUAUCUUUCAUUAUUUUAAGACACAAUCCAUUUUCCUUUUCUUCUUCUGCCUCCUCUUACAACCCUCCUUCUCUUGCCAUUAGUUCUAACCAGCCCACCUCCAUUAAUUCAGCACCCAUUGUUAAUGGUUUUAAUAUUAUUAAUUUCAAAAUUCUAAUGUUAAUUUCAAGUACAAAUCUGGUAUUAAGAUUGUUUUAAAUUGAUGAGGUACUUAUUUGGUUUACUUUUCUAUUGUUGUUGUCGAGUAUGGGAAGUCCAUUAAUCAUCGAGCUUUAAAGUUGAAAGUUCAUCUUCUUUGUUCAUUGGACCGUAUAGGAAGAUAUAUUAAAAUUGGGAUUUGUUUUUUCUAUUAUAGGAGCCUUUUUUUUUUUUUGAUUGAUUUGUGUGAAGCAAAGCUCCAAAUUUGAGUUUAUUAUAUAUAUUUUUGUCCUCAAAUCUUAUUGAAAUGUGAGAAAUUAAACUUCUCAUUUAUUAGCUAAUUGAAACUUACAUACCUAUAAAUCACAUUAAAUAGAUUCACAUGACAUGGGAAAAAACAUAUAUUGUUGUUCAAUACUAUAAAACUUCUCAUUUAUUUUAGUAAAAAAUCUAAUUAAAGAAGUAUUAAUAAUAAUUACUUGCAUUUUCUAUUCAUAUUUCAAUAUUUGAUGCAUUGUCUGUAUAUUAACGAGUAAAUAAAAAUAUAUAAUUUGUAUUAUUAUUUUUUACUUAUUAACAAGUAAAUAAAAUGAAAAUAUGAAUUAAAGCAAAUCUUGUUGUCUACUUGUCAAUAAGUUGGGCCGUGAUUCGUUCCUUAAAUUUCUUACACGAUUAGUUGUUGUUUUUUUCUUUUUCAAGUAUUAUCUAAUUACAAAAUUAUUUUAUAAGUAAAUAAAAAUAAGAUAGCAAUUGGGGCUGAGAGAGCUGCUCAAAAUUUCACAACUUUGUCUGAGUUGCAACUUAAUUGGACAGAUAGUUUGACCUUUGGCUAAGUUUGUGCUAACAUGAUAAUUGAUGCCCUCAGCUUUAAAUUAAUGGUACUCACCAAUUUGACUUUUUGCCUUGGGAUAUUUCUUACUUUCAUCAACACAUGAAUUCAUUCUAGUUUUACCAUAAAUGAAGGGAAGAGUGAUGCAUUUUUCUUAUAGCGUUAUUCAUGGUUUAUAGUAAGAUGUAGAGCAGUUGAGUGAGUUUUGGUGCUCUUUCUUCUACCUUGCUAAAUUAUCCUGAAUUAAUAGAAAGAUAGUAUAAGUUAGGAAAUGAUAUUAUCCUAAAUGAGCUCUUCAAUUGAGAGACAAAAUUGGCUUGGGUUAGGGGCUAUCCACUCAACUUUUUAGAAUCUGAAAUAAUGCUUAUAUGAAAAUAUGAGAAAAUCAUUCUUUUUAAUUUUAAUGUGCUAAAUACUUGUAUUAAUUUUGCCGACUACUAUUCUAUAAUCAAUAUCUUUUGUUUAUGUUAGCUUUAACCUCAACUUUUGUUUUUUAGUAUGACUCAUUAGCAAGUUCAUGCACAUUCUAGCCCUAGAGAUAUUGAAGUUGUUU